AUGAAGCUGAAGAUCAACAAGGCGUGCGACAUCGCCUCCAUCUCCGUCCUCCCUCCCCGGAGGACCGGAGGGAGCAGCGGUGGCGGUGGCGGGAUGAGCGCGCCUGCUGCUGCUUCCGCGGCGGCGGCGGCGCAGCAGCAGCGGUCCCAGUCCAUGUCGCAGAAGUCCUUCUCGCAGGGAGGAGGAGGAGGCGGCGGCCCGUUCUCGCAGGGCGUCGGCGCGUCCUUCUCGCAGGCCAUAGGCAGCGGUGGCGCGUCCUUCUCCCAGGCCAGAGGCGCGUCCUUCUCGCAGGGCAGCGGCACCGGAGACGCCGCGUUCUCUCAGGUCGGUGGAGGCGGAGGCGCGGCCUUCUCUCAGGGCGGUGGAAGCGGAGGCCCCGCGUUCUCUCAGGCCGGCGGAGGCGGAGGCGCGGCCUUCUCUCAGGGCGGUGGAGGCGGAGGCGCGGCCUUCUCUCAGGGCGGUGGAGGCGGAGGCGCGGCCUUCUCUCAGGCCGGUGGAGGCGGAGGCGGAGGCGCGGCCUUCUCUCAGGCCGGUGGAGGCGGAGGCGCGGCCUUCUCCCAGGGCGGUGGAAGCGGAGGCGCGUCCUUCUCCCAGGGCGGUGGCAGCGCGCCGCUCGUGCACGCGCAGUCGCAGCUCUCGCAGGCCUCCCUCGACGCGAACCUCCUCAGCCUCCUCUCGCAGGCUCCCGCGCGCGACCAGAGAUUUGCCUUGGAACAGGACUCGUCGAAGAGGACAUCUUCAUAUCCUGCCAGUUCAGCUUCUUGUGUGCGCGAGGAAUCUCAGCUGCAACUGACAAAGAUACCAACCAACCCUAUCCACCGCUGGAGCCCCUCUCUUCCGGAUAGCAGAUGUCAGGUUAAUGAGGAAGUUGAGCGCAAGUUUCAGCAUCUGGCAAGUUCAGUACAUAAGAUGGGAAUGAUAUUAGACUCGGUGCAAAAUGAUGUGAUGCAGUUAAACAGAGCCAUGAAAGAGGCAUCACUAGACUCUGGUAGCAUUCAGAAAAAGUUUGUGCUCCUAGAGGACUCUCUAAAGCAAAUUCUUAAGGGACAAGAUGAUCUCAAAGCAGUCCUUGAAGGAAUCACAGAAAGAAAUCCUGACCAACUGAGUGUUCUCAACUCUCUCGCCAGCAAACAGGAUGAGAUGUCCUCGUUACUUUCAGUCUUGCCAAAGCAUGUGCAAAUAGAACUGGGGCAACUGAAGGGUGACAUCAGCAGAAUUUUCUCAAAGGAGAUAGAGGGGAUAGUUAGAGCUGUUGAUACUAGGCUUGACCGGAUGCAAAUGCUGGCAAACCAGAGCUGCACCACCAAUGCAAAACCCCUGAUGAACCAGACAAGUGUAACAAAUGGAAGCCCCCUGAUGAAGCAGACACCAGCAGCAGAUGGAAGCACCCUGGUGAACCAGACAAGAGUAGCAGAUGGAGGCCCCCUGAUGAACCAAGGACCAGUAGCAGAUGAAAUCCCCCUGAUGAACCAAGGACCAGUACCAGAUGGAAGGCCGCAGAAGAAACAAAGACCAGUAGCAAAUGGAAGGUCCCAGAGGAAGGAACAAACACCAGUAGCAAAUGGAAGGCCCCAGAGGAAGAAACAAAGACCAGUAGCAAAUGGAAGGCCCCAGAGGAACCAAAGACCAGUACCAAAUGGAAGGCCCCAGGUGAAGCCAACAAAAACAGCAGAUGGAAGCUCGCAGAUGAACCAGAAACCCGAAGCAGAUGGAAAGGCCCUAAUGAACCAAGUACUAGCAGUAACUCAAGCUGCCAGUGCUCCUGCGCCCUUGGCUUAUCAGAGGAAGACAGAAGGUGUGAAGCCAAAUGUGGAAAAGGGGAUGGCAAAGGCCGCCACAGGUGCACAGGAAUUGGGUAGCUCAGGCGACAGCAGUCCGGCGCCACCUAAAGAGCAAGAGUUGGCGAUUCAGAAGGACAAUGAAGAGGCACCAGUCAACAAGGCGAUGUUGACCAUUGUCAUCGACUCGGACGACGACGAGGAGGGGGGUGGCAGCGCCGGGAGCGCGUCAUGCGUCACGCUGAAGGCCGAAGCAGGUGGUGCGGUGGCGGAGGCGGCGAUGGGCGAGGGGGAGGCGCUGGAGAUCCUGCGGCGGGCGAGGAAGCGCCGGCGGAGGGAGGGGGCCAACGCCGUCGUGCUCGACCACUGCUAG
rnacentral:rRNA from 1 species